UUCUGGAUAGCUAAACAUGUGGAAGUUCCUGGAGGAUGGUGGUCCUAAACAGGGUAUGGAAGCUCCAUGCCCUUUCCUAUAUGCCUUACACUAUCCAUCUAUUCCACCUGGCUGUUUAACUUUCUUCAGAGGUAUAGGUGACAACCUGCUAUUUGUGACUGGCAUUGGAAGUAGGAAGAAGUCUUAUGGGACUGAGCCCUCAACCUAUGGAGGCUGAUGCUACAUCCAGGUUACCAGAAAAUUUAAAGUUACGCCAGUCACUCCCAUUCUAUUGCUGAGAGAAAAUACAGAGCGGUGAAGAGCUUACAGUCGGACCGCGCUGCACGCCGGCGGCAGCCAUGGCGGAUGUGUCAGAGAGGACACUGCAGUUGUCCGUGCUAGUAGCCUUCGCUUCUGGAGUACUCCUGGGCUGGCAGGCGAACCGACUGCGGAGGCGCUACUUGGACUGGAGGAAAAGGAGGCUGCAGGACAAGCUGGCGGCGACGCAGAAGAAGCUGGACCUGGCCUGAGACUCUGCGCCUUCCGCCCCAUUCUGUCCCCCUCAUGGCCACCUUGCCAUGUCCGCGCCGGAGCCCCGGUCCGCCGGCGCCCAGAACCAGGCUUGCCACACAGUCCCCGCCUGCCAUGGCCGGCUCUUCCUGGAGUGUUGCUUGUUGAAGAUGCAUAUAGACUACCGGAAAGAAAUGACUUCUUCUUGCACUUUAUGAAUCAAUUUUAUUUUUAAAAUAAAAAAAUUAAACAU
rnacentral:lncRNA from 1 species